rnacentral:rRNA from 1 species
UACGUAGGGUGCGAGCGUUGCCCGGAUUUAUUGGGCGUAAAGAGCUCGUAGGCGGCUUGUCGCGUCGACUGUGAAAACUCGGGGCUCAACUCCGAGCUUGCAGUCGAUACGGGCAGGCUAGAGUUCGGUAGGGGAGACUGGAAUUCCUGGUGUAGCGGUGAAAUGCGCAGAUAUCAGGAGGAACACCGGUGGCGAAGGCGGGUCUCUGGGCCGAUACUGACGCUGAGGAGCGAAAGCGUGGGGAGCGAACAGG